AUUGAACGCUGGCGGCAGGCCUAACACAUGCAAGUCGAGCGAGCGGCGGACGGGUGAGUAAUGUCUGGGAAACUGCCUGAUGGAGGGGGAUACAUACGGGAAACGGUAGCUACUACCGCAUACCCUCAGAUGUGCCCAGAUGGGAUUAGCUCGUAGGUGGGGUAACGGCUCACCUAGGCGACGAUCCCUCGCUGGUCUGAGAGGAUGACCAGCCAAACGGGAACGGAGACACGGUCCAGACUCCUACGGGAGGCAGCAGGGGGGAAUAUUGCACAAUGGUCGCAAGCCUGAUGCAGCCAUGCCGCGUGUGUGAAGAAGGCCGUCGGGUUGUAAAGCACUUUCAGCGGGGAGGCGUGACCCGCAGAAGAAGCACCGGCUAACUCCGUGCCAGCAGCCGCGGUAAUUC
rnacentral:rRNA from 1 species